CUACAUGUCUCUACAGCAGGGGUGUUAAACAUGUGGCCCGUGGGCCGGAACCUGCCCACCAAAGGGUCCAAUUAGGCCCACUGGAUGACUUUGCAAAGUGCGAAAAUUGCAGAGUAGUAACUAAUUCUAUUUCCAAAUUUACCACUUUGAUCUCAGAGA